AGUGAACGCUGGCGGUAGGCCUAACACAUGCAAGUCGAACGGCAGCACAGUAUUCGCUUGCUCUUACGGUUGGCGAGUGGCGUACGGGUGCGGUAUACAUCGGAAUCUACUUUUUCUUGGGUGUUUACGUCGGCAUACUUACGCUAAUACCGCAUACGACCUACUGGUGAAAGCACUCGAUCUUCGGACCUUUCGCGUUUUAAUGAGCCGAUGUCGGUUUAUCUAGUUGGCGGGGUAAAGGCCCACCAAUGCGACGAUCCGUAGCUGGUCUGAGAGGAUGAUCAGCGACAGUGGAAGUGAGACACGGUCCAGACUGCGACGGGAGGAAGCAGUGGGGAAUAAUGGACAAUGGGCGCAAGCAUGAUACAGCAAUACCGGGUGGGUGAAGAAGGCAUUCGGGUUGUAAAGCCCUUUUGUUGGGAAAGAAAAGCAGCAGGUUAAUACCACGAUGUAAUGACGGUACCCAAAGAAUAAGCACCGGCUAACUUCGUG
rnacentral:rRNA from 1 species